GCAGGCGCGCAGAGGUGUGCGCCCCGGACGAGGGAGCCGUACCCGGCCACGCGACAAGACGGCCAGA
rnacentral:ncRNA from 1 species